rnacentral:rRNA from 1 species
GAUCCUGGCUCAGAAUCAACGCUGGCGGCGUGCCUAACACAUGCAAGUCGAACGAGAAAGUGGAGCAAUCCAUGAGUAAAGUGGCGCACGGGUGAGUAACACGUGACUAACCUACCCAGGAGUGGGGGAUAACUGAGGGAAACCUUAGCUAAUACCGCAUAACACCUAAGGGUCAAAGGAGCAAUUCGCUUCUGGAGGGGGUCGCGGCCGAUUAGUUAGUUGGCAGGGUAAUGGCCUACCAAGACGAUGAUCGGUAUCCGGCCUGAGAGGGCGCACGGACACACUGGAACUGAAACACGGUCCAGACUCCUACGGGAGGCAGCAGUGGGGAAUUUUGCGCAAUGGGGGAAACCCUGACGCAGCAACGCCGCGUGGAGGAUGAAGUCCUUCGGGACGUAAACUCCUUCGAUCGGACGA